rnacentral:rRNA from 1 species
AGAGUUUUAUCCUGGCUCAGGACGAACGCUGGCGGUGUGCUUAACACAUGCAAGUCGAACGAUGACGAACGGGUGCUUGCACUUGUUUUGAUUAGUGGCGAACGGGUGAGUAACACGUGAGUAACCUGCCCCAUACUCUGGGAUAACCAUUGGAAACGGUGGCUAAUACUGGAUACGACCGAUCACCGCAUGGUGUGUUGGUGGAAAGUUUUUCGGUAUGGGAUGGACUCGCGGCCUAUCAGCUUGUUGGUGGGGUAAUGGCCUACCAAGGCGACGACGGGUAGCCGGCCUGAGAGGGCGACCGGCCACACUGGGACUGAGACACGGCCCAGACUCCUACGGGAGGCAGCAGUGGGGAAUAUUGCACAAUGGGCGAAAGCCUGAUGCAGCGACGCCGCGUGGGGGAUGAAGGCCUUCGGGUUGUAAACCCCUUUCAGUAGGGAAGAAGCGAAAGUGACGGUACCUGCAGAAGAAGCGCCGGCUAACUACGUGCCAGCAGCCACGGUAAUACGUAGGGCGCAAGCGUUGUCCGGAAUUAUUGGGCGUAAAGAGCUCGUAGGCGGUUUGUCGCGUCUGCCGUGAAAGUCCGGGGCUUAACUCCGGAUCUGCGGUGGGUACGGGCAGGCUAGAGUGCGGUAGGGGUGACUGGAAUUCCUGGUGUAGCGGUGGAAUGCGCAGAUAUCAGGAGGAACACCGAUGGCGAAGGCAGGUCACUGGGCCGCAACUGACGCUGAGGAGCGAAAGCAUGGGGAGCGAACAGGAUUAGAUACCCUGGUAGUCCAUGCCGUAAACGUUGGGCAC